GUUUGAUCCUGGCUCAGGAUGAACGCUAGCGGCAGGCCUAAUACAUGCAAGUCGAACGGUGUCUUCGGACAUAGUGGCGCACGGGUGCGUAACACGUAUGCAACCUACCUUACAUUGGGGGAUAGCCUUUCGAAAGGGAGAUUAAUACCGCAUAAGACAGUAACUAGGCAUCUAGUACCUGUUAAAGAUUUAUCGAUGUAAGCUGGGCAUGCGACCAAUUAGCUUGUUGGUGAGGUAAUGGCUCACCAAGGCUAUGAUUGGUAGGGGAACUGAGAGGUCAAUCCCCCACACUGGCACUGAGAUACGGGCCAGACUCCUACGGGAGGCAGCAGUAGGGAAUAUUGGGCAAUGGACGCAAGUCUGACCCAGCCAUGCCGCGUGCAGGAUGAAGGCGUUAUGCGUUGUAAACUGCUUUUAUACAGGAAGAAGCGACUCUUGCGAGAGGCAUUGACGGUACUGUAUGAAUAAGCACCGGCUAACUCCGUGCCAGCAGCCGCGGUAAUACGGAGGGUGCAAGCGUUGUCCGGAUUUAUUGGGUUUAAAGGGUGCGCAGGUGGUUUAUUAAGUCAGUGGUGAAAGACGGUCGCUCAACGAUUGCAGUGCCAUUGAAACUGGUAGACUUGAGUAAAGUAGAGGUGGGCGGAAUUGAUAGUGUAGCGGUGAAAUGCAUAUAUAUUAUCAAGAACUCCAAUUGCGUANGCAGCUCACUUGGCUUUUACUGACACUCAUGCACGAAAGUGUGGGUAUCAAACAGGAUUAGGUACCCUGGUAGUCCACACUGUAAACGAUGAUAACUAGGUGUCGGCCGAAUCUGGUCUGUGCCACAGCGAAGCGUUAAGUUAUCCACCUGGCGAGUACGCCGGCACGGUGACACUCAAAGGAAUUGACGGGGGUCCGCCCAACCGUGGAGCAUGUGG
rnacentral:rRNA from 1 species